GAGUUUGAUCCUGGCUCAGGAUGAACGCUAGCUACAGGCUUAACACAUGCAAGUCGAGGGGCAGCAUGGUCUUAGCUUGCUAAGGCCGAUGGCGACCGGCGCACGGGUGAGUAACACGUAUCCAACCUGCCGUCUACUCUUGGACAGCCUUCUGAAAGGAAGAUUAAUACAAGAUGGCAUCAUGAGUCCGCAUGUUCACAUGAUUAAAGGUAUUCCGGUAGACGAUGGGGAUGCGUUCCAUUAGAUAGUAGGCGGGGUAACGGCCCACCUAGUCUUCGAUGGAUAGGGGUUCUGAGAGGAAGGUCCCCCACAUUGGAACUGAGACACGAUCCAAACUCCUACGGGAGGCAGCAGUGAGGAAUAUUGGUCAAUGGGCGAGAGCCUGAACCAGCCAAGUAGCGUGAAGGAUGACUGCCCUAUGGGUUGUAAACUUCUUUUAUAAGGGAAUAAACCCUCCCACGUGUGGGAGCUCGUAUGUACCUUAUGAAUAAGCAUCGGCUAACUCCGUGCCAGCAGCCGCGGUAAUACGGAGGAUGCGAGCGUUAUCCGGAUUUAUUGGGUUUAAAGGGAGCGCAGACGGGUUGUUAAGUCAGCUGUGAAAGUUUGGGGCUCAACCUUAAAAUUGCAGUUGAUACUGGCGUCCUUGAGUGCGGUUGAGGUGUGCGGAAUUCGUGGUGUAGCGGUGAAAUGCUUAGAUAUCACGAAGAACUCCGAUUGCGAAGGCAGCACACUAAUCCGUAACUGACGUUCAUGCUCGAAAGUGUGGGUAUCAAACAGGAUUAGAUACCCUGGUAGUCCACACGGUAAACGAUGGAUACUCGCUGUUGGCGAUAUACUGUCAGCGGCUUAGCGAAAGCGUUAAGUAUCCCACCUGGGGAGUACGCCGGCAACGGUGAAACUCAAAUGAAUUGACG
rnacentral:rRNA from 1 species